AGACAACCUGUGUCCUCUGGAAGGCCCCCAGUUGUCCACUGUCUCCAGGGGAAGUGACCGCUACUUGCGGGGGACUGCCAGGGGUGCACAGCCAUCUCCUCCACCUUUUUUUCUCUUGUGCUUAGCGUAGGGCUAGCGUGAACUGUGCCGUCAGUAAAUGUUGAAAAAAUUAACUUGGAAUUGUUUCCUUUUUAGCUAUCAGUCUACCAUCAUGAGCAAUUAUGUGGAAACUAGUCUGUCGAUGGCGAAGUCACGUGGUCACAGUAUCCGAGUUCCUGUUGUGUGCAGAACUGCACUGGAUGUAAUAAAGAAGGCAGUCUGCUCCGGAGCUGCGUCAGAGAGAUCAUCGUGCAGAGUGUCACGUGCUCUCCACCGUCACCGAUCACACCUGCUUCUCACCCUUUUUCAUCCUCUGAUAGCAAGCAUGACUGGCCAGUGAAGAGGGACGGCUCCUAGGCCAUGUGAACAGAAAGCUGUUCACAACUCUGCUUAGAGAAGGAGCUCUCUGACCUUUAGAAGAGGUUGGAGAAUCUUCCAGGGGAGAGAAGUUUGAGAAGCUCCAGCUAGAGGAACAUUAAGUUUUCCAGCCCCUACCAAGUGGACUAACGACAACAGCUUUCGGGGAAACAUCCAAGAUUUCUGGAUCCUUCCAUGGAUCUUUAAGGUACAUAUGGGGAGAAGUGAGUGUUUGACCAGAGAUCACAGGACAUGGAAUCAAAGAAACUAAGGGUUGAGUCCUGACCCUCUCCACACUGUUUCAGCUUCCUGCCCACCCCUGGGUGAGUCAUUUACCAAUUCAUUUGUUGUUGAGGCAGAGAUGGCAACGUGUGGAUUUUCGACUGGGGAUGAGAGGGAGUCGGUGCCCCUAACACCCACGUUUUCUUUUUUUUUAAACUUUGAUAUGGACCAGUUUUAGUCUUUUAAUUGCAUUUGUUACAAUAUUGCUUCUGUUUUAUGUUUUGCUUUUUAGCCAGGAGGGAUACGUGGGAUUUUAGCUCCCUGACCAGGGAUGGAACCCACACCCCUUGCAUUGGAAGGCUAAGUCCCGCCCCCCACAUUCUCAAGGGUCCAUUCUAUAAGAGUGAGGCCCUAGACUAGUCAGAAUCACAGAAGACAAAACAUUACACCAGUUAUUUAACUUUUUGAGCCUCAGCUGUAAAAUGUAGAGUUGAACUAUUUUUAAGAUCUUUCACCCAACUAUCGUGUUGGGUGGGAGAACCAGAAACUGAAUGAGGUGGGUGUAGGGGAAGAUGAGGAAAGAGCUUUCACCAGUCCCAGAGGUGGAUUAUAGGCUUGAGAACCCUGAGGAAACUCAUCCCAAGUGACUGCCUUUCUCUUCUUAAUGAUGGAGUUCCUUUAAGAGAAAGAUGAAUGAGAGGUGAUAUAUUCUAGGCAAUAUAUUUCCCCUUGAAAAAUGCAGAAAGCAAAUAAUUCUAAAGAAGCUGCAUGUAUAAUA